ACGAACGCUGGCGGCGUGCCUAAUACAUGCAAGUCGAGCGGAAUGAUGAAGAAGCUUGCUUCUUCUGAUUUUAGCGGCGGACGGGUGAGUAACACGUGGGCAACCUACCUUGUAGAUUGGGAUAACUCCGGGAAACCGGGGCUAAUACCGAAUAAUCCAUUUUGCUUCAUGGCGAGAUGUUGAAAGACGGUUUCGGCUGUCACUACAAGAUGGGCCCGCGGCGCAUUAGCUAGUUGGUAGGGUGAUGGCCUACCAAGGCGACGAUGCGUAGCCGACCUGAGAGGGUGAUCGGCCACACUGGGACUGAGACACGGCCCAGACUCCUACGGGAGGCAGCAGUAGGGAAUCUUCCACAAUGGACGAAAGUCUGAUGGAGCAACGCCGCGUGAGUGAAGAAGGUUUUCGGAUCGUAAAACUCUGUUGUAAGGGAAGAACACGUACGAGAGUAACUGCUCGUACCUUGACGGUACCUUAUUAGAAAGCCACGGCUAACUACGUG
rnacentral:rRNA from 1 species